UACGGAGGAUGCGAGCGUUAUCCGGAUUUACUGGGCGUAAAGGGAGCGUAGGCGGACUUUUAAGUGAGAUGUGAAAUACUCGGGCUCAACUUGAGUGCUGCAUUUCAAACUGGAAGUCUAGAGUGCAGGAGAGGAGAAUGGAAUUCCUAGUGUAGCGGUGAAAUGCGUAGAUAUACGGAGGAACACCAGUGGCGAAGGCGGAUUGCUGGACAGUAACUGACGCUGAGGCGCGAAAGCGUGGGGAGCAAACAGG
rnacentral:rRNA from 1 species